rnacentral:rRNA from 1 species
GAUGAACGCUGGCGGCGUGCCUAAUACAUGCAAGUCGAGCGAACAGAUGAGGAGCUUGCUCCUCUGACGUUAGCGGCGGACGGGUGAGUAACACGUGGAUAACCUACCUAUAAGACUGGGAUAACUUCGGGAAACCGGAGCUAAUACCGGAUAAUAUAUUGAACCGCAUGGUUCAAUAGUGAAAGACGGUUUUGCUGUCACUUAUAGAUGGAUCCGCGCCGCAUUAGCUAGUUGGUAAGGUAACGGCUUACCAAGGCAACGAUGCGUAGCCGACCUGAGAGGGGGAUCGGCCACACUGGAACUGAGACACGGUCCAGACUCCUACGGGAGGCAGCAGUAGGGAAUCUUCCGCAAUGGGCGAAAGCCUGACGGAGCAAAGCCGCGUGAGUGAUGAAGGUCUUCGGAUCGUAAAACUCUGUUAUUAGGGAAGAACAAAUGUGUAAGUAACUAUGCACGUCUUGACGGUACCUAAUCAGAAAGCCACGGCUAACUACGUG